rnacentral:rRNA from 1 species
GACGAACGCUGGCGGCGUGCUUAACACAUGCAAGUCGAACGGAAAGGCCCCCACUUUUUUGGUGGGGGUGCUCGAGUGGCGAACGGGUGAGUAACACGUGGGUGAUCUGCCCUGUACUUCGGGAUAAGCUUGGGAAACUGGGUCUAAUACCGGAUAGGACCAUGGUUUAGUGUCUCAUGGUGGAAAAAUUAUUGUUUUGGUGCAGGAUGAGCUCGCGGCCUAUCAGCUUGUUGGUGGGGUAAUGGCCUACCAAGGCGUCGACGGGUAGCCGGCCUGAGAGGGUGGACGGCCACAUUGGGACUGAGAUACGGCCCGGACUCCUACGGGAGGCAGCAGUGGGGAAUAUUGCACAAUGGGCGCAAGCCUGAUGCAGCGACGCCGCGUGGGGGAUGACGGCCUUCGGGUUGUAAACUCCUUUCGUUAGGGACGAAGCCGCACCUUUUUUGGGUGUGGUGACGGUACCUUUGUUAAGAAGCACCGGCUAACUACGU